AGAGUUUGAUCAUGGCUCAGGAUGAACGCUAGCUACAGGCUUAACACAUGCAAGUCGAGGGGAAACGAUAGGGAAAGCUUGCUUUUCCUAGGCGUCGACCGGCGCACGGGUGAGUAACGCGUAUCCAACCUGCCCAUGUCUGGGGAAUAACCCGUCGAAAGGCGGACUAACUCCCCAUGGUCUCCGAUGAGGACAUCUGAAUUGGAGUAAAGCUUUGCGGACAUGGAUGGGGAUGCGUCUGAUUAGGUAGUAGGCGGGGUAACGGCCCACCUAGCCUACGAUCAGUAGGGGUUCUGAGAGGAAGGUCCCCCACAUUGGAACUGAGACACGGUCCAAACUCCGACGGGAGGCAGCAGUGAGGAAUAUUGGUCAAUGGACGAGAGUCUGAACCAGCCAAGUAGCGUGCAGGAUGACGGCCCUAUGGGUUGUAAACUGCUUUUGCGCGGGGAUAACACCCUCCACGUGCUGGAGGUCUGCAGGUACCGCGCGAAUAAGGACCGGCUAAUUCCGUGCCAGCAGCCGCGGUAAUUC
rnacentral:rRNA from 1 species